rnacentral:rRNA from 1 species
UACGAAGGGGGCUAGCGUUGUUCGGAAUUACUGGGCGUAAAGCGCACGUAGGCGGAUCGAUCAGUCAGGGGUGAAAUCCCAGGGCUCAACCCCGGAACUGCCUUUGAUACUGUCGAUCUGGAGUAUGGAAGAGGUGAGUGGAAUUCCGAGUGUAGAGGUGAAAUUCGUAGAUAUUCGGAGGAACACCAGUGGCGAAGGCGGCUCACUGGUCCAUUACUGACGCUGAGGUGCGAAAGCGUGGGGAGCAAACAGG